CUUGCUUUCUUUGCUGGCGACCGGCGCACGGGUGAGUAACACGUAUCCAACCUGCCCUUUACUCGGGGAUAGCCUUUCGAAAGAAAGAUUAAUACCCGAUAGCAUAAUGAUUCCGCAUGGUUUCAUUAUUAAAGGAUCCGGUAAAGGAUGGGGAUGCGUUCCAUUAGGUUGUUGGUGGGGUAACGGCCCACCAAGCCUUCGAUGGAUAGGGGUUCUGAGAGGAAGGUCCCCCACAUUGGAACUGAGACACGGUCCAA
rnacentral:rRNA from 1 species